GACGAACGCUGGCGGCGUGCUUAACACAUGCAAGUCGAACGAAGAGCGACGGAAGCUUGCUUCUAUCAAUCUUAGUGGCGAACGGGUGAGUAACGCGUAAUCAACCUGCCCUUCAGAGGGGGACAACAGUUGGAAACGACUGCUAAUACCGCAUACGAUCUAAUCUCGGCAUCGAGGAUAGAUGAAAGGUGGCCUCUACAUGUAAGCUAUCACUGAAGGAGGGGAUUGCGUCUGAUUAGCUAGUUGGAGGGGUAACGGCCCACCAAGGCGAUGAUCAGUAGCCGGUCUGAGAGGAUGAACGGCCACAUUGGGACUGAGACACGGCCCAGACUCCUACGGGAGGCAGCAGUGGGGAAUCUUCCGCAAUGGACGAAAGUCUGACGGAGCAACGCCGCGUGAGUGAUGACGGCCUUCGGGUUGUAAAGCUCUGUUAAUCGGGACGAAAGGCCUUCUUGCGAAUAGUGAGAAGGAUUGACGGUACCGGAAUAGAAAGCC
rnacentral:rRNA from 1 species